AUACUUCCCUGGAAGGAGAGAUACCAUGAUCAUGAAGGUGAUUUUCCAAGGGUGAGGCUUAUCCAUUACAUUCCUGUUGUGCCGACCCCUGCAACUUCCCCAAAUAUGGGAAACUCGACUGCAUAAUUUGUGGUGGGGGGACUGCAUUUGUGCUCUCCCCUG
ensembl:snRNA U1 U1 spliceosomal RNA